rnacentral:rRNA from 1 species
UGGGGAAUCUUGCACAAUGGGGGAAACCCUGAUGCAGCGACGCCGCGUGAGCGAUGAAGCCCUUCGGGGUGUAAAGCUCUUGCGGCAGGAACGAUAAUGACGGUACCUGCAGAAGAAGCUGCGGCUAACUACGUGCCAGCAGCCGCGGUAAUACGUAGGGAGCAAGCGUUGUUCGGAGUUACUGGGCGUAAAGAGUGUGUAGGCGGUUCGCCAAGUUCGGUGUGAAAUCUCCCUGCUUAACUGGUGGUGUGCGCCGAAUACUGGCGUGCUAGAGUGCGGGAGAG